rnacentral:rRNA from 1 species
GACGAACGCUGGCGGCGGGCCUAAUACAUGCAAGUCGAACGCAGUGGGGACGGGUGAGUAACCCGUGGGUAACCUCCCAUCAGAGGGGAUAACACUUGGAAACAGGUGCUAAACCGAUACUGAUGGAUGGAGCCGCGGUGCAUUAGCUAGGUGGGGAGGUAACGUCUCACCAAGGCAACGAUGCAGAGGCUACCGGAGCGGGUGAUCGGCCACACUGAGACGGAGACACGGCCCAGACUACUAGGUGAGGCGGCAGUAGGGAAUGUUCGGCAAUGGACGAAAGUCUGACCGAGCAAAGCCGCGUGAGUGAAGAAGGUUUGCCGAUCUUAAAACUCUGUUGUUAGAAAAGCGGUAUCUAACCAGAAAGCCACGGCUAACUCCGUGCCAGCAGCCGCGGUAAUAC